UACGGGAGGCAGCAGUGGGGAAUAUUGGACAAUGGGCGCAAGCCUGAUCCAGCCAUACCGCGUGGGUGAAGAAGGCCUUCGGGUUGUAAAGCCCUUUUGUUGGGAAAGAAAUCCUGUCGGUUAAUAACCGGUGGGGAUGACGGUACCCAAAGAAUAAGCACCGGCUAACUUCGUGCCAGCAGCCGCGGUAAU
rnacentral:rRNA from 1 species